GGGUGAGUAACACGUGGGCAAUCUGCCCUGCACUCUGGGACAAGCCCUGGAAACGGGGUCUAAUACCGGAUACCASYYYCCCYYGCAUGGKGGRGGUUGGAAAGCUCCGGCGGUGAAGGAUGAGCCCGCGGCCUAUCAGCUUGUUGGUGAGGUAACGGCUCACCAAGGCGACGACGGGUAGCCGGCCUGAGAGGGCGACCGGCCACACUGGGACUGAGACACGGCCCAGACUCCUACGGGAGGCAGCAGUGGGGAAUAUUGCACAAUGGGCGAAAGCCUGAUGCAGCGACGCCGCGUGAGGGAUGACGGCCUUCGGGUUGUAAACCUCUUUCAGCAGGGAARAAGCGAGRGUGACGGUACCUGCAAAAGAAGCGCCGGCUAACUACGUGCCAGCAGCCGCGGUAAUACGUAGGGCGCAAGCGUUGUCCGGAAUUAUUGGGCGUAAAGAGCUCGUAGGCGGCUUGUCACGUCGGUUGUGAAAGCCCGGGGCUUAACCCCGGGUCUGCAUUCGAUACGGGCWRGCUAGAGUKCGGUAGGGGAGAUCGGAAUUCCUGGUGUAGCGGUGAAAUGCGCAGAUAUCAGGAGGAACACCGGUGGCGAAGGCGGAUCUCUGGGC
rnacentral:rRNA from 1 species